rnacentral:rRNA from 1 species
GUCGAGAAUCUUUCUCAAUGGGCGAAAGCCUGAAGGAGCGACGCCGCGUGGGGGAUGAAUGGCUUCGGCCCGUAAACCCCUGUCAUUCGUGAACAAGGUCUGCAGUUUAAGAGAUGGCAGGCUCGAUAGUAACGAAAGAGGAAGGGACGGCUAACUCUGUGCCAGCAGCCGCGGUAAUACAGAGGUCCCAAGCGUUGUUCGGAUUCACUGGGCGUAAAGGGUGCGUAGGUGGUGGGAAAAGUCUGAUGUGAAAGCUCCGGGCUUAACUCGGAAAUGGCAUCAGAAACUCUCUCGCUAGAGGGUUGGAGGGGGGACUGGAAUUCUCGGUGUAGCAGUGAAAUGCGUAGAUAUCGAGAGGAACACCAGUGGCGAAGGCGAGUCCCUGGACAACUCCUGACACUGAGGCACGAAAGCUAGGGGAGCAAACAGGAUUAGAUACCCGAGUAGUCC